rnacentral:tRNA from 1 species
GCUUUUAUAGUGUAUGGCAUAAGAAAUUUUCAAUUUCUUGGAGUAAUUAGUAACUUAAUUAUUAAAAGUA